AGAGUUUGAUCCUGGCUCAGGUUGAACGCUGGCGGAGUGCCUAACACAUGCAAGUCGAACGAACCUUUGAAACUGAGACUUCGGUCAACGUUUCUUUUUGGUUAGUGGCGAACGGGUGAGGAAUACAUAGGUAACAUGCCCCUAAGUCUGGGAUAACUUCACGAAAGAGGAGCUAAUACCGGAUACACUUAUGAUGCAUAAGCAUUAUAAGGAAAGAUUUAUUGCUUAGGGAUUGGCUUAUGUCUGAUUAGCUUGUUGGUAGGGUAAUGGCCUACCAAGGCGACGAUCAGUAGCUGGUCUGAGAGGACGAACAGCCACACUGGGACUGAGACACGGCCCAGACUCCUACGGGAGGCAGCAGUGGGGAAUAUUGCGCAAUGGGGGAAACCCUGACGCAGCGACGCCGCGUGAGCGAUGAAGUCUUUAGGGAUGUAAAGCUCUGUCAAGUGGGAAGAUAAUGACUGUACCACUAAAGGAAGUCCCGGCUAACUACGUGCCAGCAGCCGCGGUAAUACGGAGGGUGGAAGCGUUAUCCGGAAUUAUUGGGCGUAAAGAGUCCGUAGGUGGUUUUAUAAGUUAGAUGUCAAAGGCUUUAGCUCAACUAAAGUACGCAUCUAAUACUGUAGAACUAGAGAUCAGGAGAGGAAAGCGGAACUCACGGUGUAGCGGUGAAAUGCGUAGAUAUUGUGAGGAACACCAGUUGCGAAGGCGGCUUCCUGGACUGAAUCUGACGCUGAGGCGCGAAAGCGUGGGGAGCGAACGGGAUUAGAUACCCCGGUAGUCCACGCCGUAAACGGUGUUCACUAGGUGUAGGAGGUAUCGACCCCUUCUGUGCCACAGAUAAUUCGUUAAGUGAACCGCCUGGGAAGUACGACCGCAAGGUUAAAACUCAAAGAAAUUGACGGGGGCCCGCACAAGCAGUGGAGCAUGUGGUUUAAUUCGACCAUACGCGAAGAACCUCACCAGGGCUUGACAUCUACAGAAUUCCCUAGAGAUAGAGAAGUGCCCGCAAGGGAACUGUAAGACAGGUGGUGCAUGGCUGUCGUCAGCUCGUGUCGUGAGAUGUUGGGUUAAGUCCCGCAACGAGCGCAACCCCUAUCUUGUAUUGCCAGCACAUAAGGUGGGAACUCACAGGAGACUGCCCGUGGAAAGCGGGAGGAAGGUGGGGAUGACGUCAAGUCAUCAUGCCCCUUACGACCUGGGCUACACACAUGCUACAAUGGUCGGUACAAUGGGUAGCAAGACCGCGAGGUGGAGUAAAUCUCAUAAAACCAGUCUCAGUUCGGAUUGCAGUCUGCAACUCGACUGCAUGAAGUAGGAAUUGCUAGUAAACGCAGAUCAGCAAUGCUGCGUUGAAUACGUUCCCGGGCCUUGUACACACCGCCCGUCACACCAUGAGAGUCGGAGACACCCGAAGCCAACGAUUCAACCCUUUUUGGGAGAUAGUUGUCGAAGGUGGAGUUGGCGAUUGGGGUGAAGUCGUAACAAGGUAACC
rnacentral:rRNA from 1 species